rnacentral:rRNA from 1 species
UACGUAGGGUGCGAGCGUUUGUCCGGAAUUAUUGGGCGUAAAGAGCUCGUAGGCGGUUUGUCACGUCUGCUGUGAAAUCCCGAGGCUCAACCUCGGGCCUGCAGUGGGUACGGGCAGACUGGAGUGCGGUAGGGGAGAUUGGAAUUCCUGGUGUAGCGGUGAAAUGCGCAGAUAUCAGGAAGAACACCGGUGGCGAAGGCGGGUCUCUGGGCCGAUACUGACGUGAGGAGCGAAAGCGUGGGGGAGCAAACAGG